rnacentral:rRNA from 1 species
UACAGAGGGUGCAAGCGUUAAUCGGAAUUACUGGGCGUAAAGCGCGCGUAGGCGGCUGAUUAAGUCGGGUGUGAAAGCCCCGGGCUCAACCUGGGAAUUGCAUCCGAUACUGAUUGGCUAGAGUAUGAGAGAGGGAGGUAGAAUUCCACGUGUAGCGGUGAAAUGCGUAGAUAUGUGGAGGAAUACCGGUGGCGAAGGCGGCCUCCUGGCUUAAUACUGACGCUGAGGUGCGAAAGCGUGGGGAGCAAACGGG